GAUGAACGCUGGUGGCGUGCCUAAUACAUGCAAGUCGAGCGAACAGACGAGGAGCUUGCUCCUCUGACGUUAGCGGCGGACGGGUGAGUAACACGUGGAUAACCUACCUAUAAGACUGGGAUAACUUCGGGAAACCGGAGCUAAUACCGGAUAAUAUAUUGAACCGCAUGGUUCAAUAGUGAAAGACGGUUUUGCUGUCACUUAUAGAUGGAUCCGCGCCGCAUUAGCUAGUUGGUAAGGUAACGGCUUACCAAGGCAACGAUGCGUAGCCGACCUGAGAGGGUGAUCGGCCACACUGGAACUGAGACACGGUCCAGACUCCUACGGGAGGCAGCAGUAGGGAAUCUUCCGCAAUGGGCGAAAGCCUGACGGAGCAACGCCGCGUGAGUGAUGAAGGUCUUCGGAUCGUAAAACUCUGUUAUUAGGGAAGAACAAAUGUGUAAGUAACUAUGCACGUCUUGACGGUACCUAAUCAGAAAGCCACGGCUAACUACGU
rnacentral:rRNA from 1 species